AUUGAACGCUGGCGGCAGGCCUAACACAUGCAAGUCGAACGGCAGCACAGAAGAGCCUGCUCUUUGGGUGGCGAGUGGCGGACGGGUGAGUAAUGUCUGGGAAACUGCCCGAUGGAGGGGGAUAACUACUGGAAACGGUAGCUAAUACCGCAUAACGUCGCAAGACCAAAGUGGGGGACCUUCGGGCCUAACACCAUCGGAUGUGCCCAGAUGGGAUUAGCUAGUAGGUGGGGUAAUGGUUCACCUAGGCGAGUAUCCCUAGGUGGUCUGAGGGGAUGACCAGCCACACUGAAAGGGAGACCCGGUCGAGACUCCUACGGGGGGCAGCAGUGGGGAAUAUUGCACAAUGGGCGAAAGCUUGAUGCAGCCAUGCCGCGUGUAUGAAGAAGGCCUUCGGGUUGAAAAGUCCUUUCAGCGGGGAGGAAGGCGGUGAGGUUAAUAACCUCGCCGAUUGACGUUACCCGCAGAAGAAGCACCGGCUAACUCCGUGCCAGCCGCCGCGGUAA
rnacentral:rRNA from 1 species